CCCAGACUCCUACGGGAGGCAGCAGUGGGGAAUAUUGCACAAUGGGGGGAACCCUGAUGCAGCGACGCCGCGUGAGUGAAGAAGUAUUUCGGUAUGUAAAGCUCUAUCAGCAGGGAAGAAAAACCGACCAUAGGGUCGCUAGACGGUACCUGAUUAAGAAGCCCCGGCUAACUACGUGCCAGCAGCCGCGGUAAUACGUAGGGGGCAAGCGUUAUCCGGAUUUACUGGGUGUAAAGGGAGCGUAGACGGUAGCGCAAGCCAAGAGUGAAAGCCCGGGGCCCAACCCCGGGACUGCUCUUGGAACUGCGUGGCUAGAGUGCAGGAGGGGCAGGCGGAAUUCCUGGUGUAGCGGUGAAAUGCGUAGAUAUCAGGAGGAACACCGGUGGCGAAGGCGGCCUGCUGGACUGCAACUGACGUUGAGGCCCGAAAGCGUGGGGGGCAAACAGGAUUAGAUACCCUAGUAC
rnacentral:rRNA from 1 species